rnacentral:rRNA from 1 species
ACGGCUCAGUAACACGUGGACAACCUACCCUGAGGUCGGGGAUAAACCCGGGAAACUGGGUAUAAUACCCGAUAGAUCUAGAAUGCUGGAAUGCUUUUAGAUCUAAAGUUCCGACGCCUCAGGAUGGGUCUGCGGCCUAUCAGGGUAGUAGUAGGUGUAACGUACCUACUAGCCUACGACGGGUACGGGUUGUGAGAGCAAGAGCCCGGAGAUGGAUUCUGAGACACGAAUCCAGGCCCUACGGGGUGCAGCAGGCGCGAAACCUUUACAAUGCUGGCAACAGCGAUAAGGGGACCUCGAGUGCCACGAUACAAUCUUGGCUGUCGUAAUGCCUAAAAAGCAUUGCAUAGCAAGGGCCGGGCAAGACCGGUGCCAGCCGCCGCGGUAACACCGGCGGCUCGAGUGGUAACCGCUAUUAUUGGGUCUAAAGGGUCUGUAGCCGGCCGGAUAAGUCUUUUGGGAAAUCCAGCUGCUCAACAGUUGGGCUUUCAGAAGAUACUGUUUCGGCUCGAGACCGGGAGAGGUGAGAGGUACUUCAGGGGUAGGGGUGAAAUCUUGUAAUCCUUGAAGGACCACCAGUGGCGAAGGCGUCUCACCAGAACGGAUCUGACGGCAAGGGACGAAAGCUAGGGGCACGAACCGGAUUAGAUACCCGGGUAGUCCUAGCCGUAAACGAUACUCGCUAGGUGUCGGCCACGGUGCGACCGUGGUCGGUGCCGUAGGGAAGCCGUGAAGCGAGCCACCUGGGAAGUACGGCCGCAAGGCUGAAACUUAAAGGAAUUGGCGGGGGAG